ACGACCUUACUUGAACAGGAUCUGUUCUAUAGGAUCGUACCGUUGCAUCCUUGACUAAUAAGGAGGCAAGCACUUAAGCCUGGUUGAUGAAGUAUGACCUGUGGGCCAGAGCGUGAUUAACGGCCUAAAUCGUUCCGGUUGGUCUGGUCUGUGGCUGUAGAGGAUCGUUCCUGGUCUGUCUUCGACUGACUUGGGUGGCACACAGGUUGUCUGACAGGCA